rnacentral:rRNA from 1 species
GAUGAACGCUGGCGGCGUGCCUAAUACAUGCAAGUCGAGCGAACAGACGAGGAGCUUGCUCCUCUGACGUUAGCGGCGGACGGGUGAGUAACACGUGGAUAACCUACCUAUAAGACUGGGAUAACUUCGGGAAACCGGAGCUAAUACCGGAUAAUAUAUUGAACCGCAAGGUUCAAUAUUGAAAGACGGUUUUGCUGUCACUUAUAGAUGGAUCCGCGCCGAAUUAGCUAGUAGGUAAGGUAACGGCUUACCAAGGCAACGAUGCGUAGCCGACCUGAGAGGGUGAUCGGCCACACUGGAACUGAGACACGGUCCAGACACCUACGGGAGGCAGCAUUAGGGAAUCUUCCGCAAUGGGCGAAAGCUUGACGGAGCAACGCCGCGUGAAUGAUGAAGGUCUUCGGAUCGUAAAACUCUGUUAUUAGGGAAGAACAAAUGUGUAAGUACCUAUGCACGUCUUGACGGUACCUAAUCAGAAAGCCACGGCUAACUACGUG